GCGCCGCGCGCUGCUCUGGGGCCGCCGCUCGUGCUUCCGCCGCGAGCGCCUGGGCGUGCUGGUGGCCGAGGUGUUCCUGCCGCGCCUGUGGCGCGC
rnacentral:tRNA from 2 species